rnacentral:misc_RNA from 1 species
CCCCCUCUCUCUGUCUGUGUGUGCUCCCCUUCGGUGCUGUUACUGGUGUUCGCGUCUAUUCCAUCCUCAGCACGAGAGAAGAGUGAGGGGGUGGCGAACGUCAAAGAGAGGCGUCCAUCGGGACGCAAUCACACACACCGCAUCCGCAGCAGCACAGCGCAAGGGAGUGGCACUCUGCCUGUGCGUCUCGCUGUGUAUGGCGGCGUGUGUGCUUGCGUCCCGAUGGACGCCUCGCCCUUCAUCCUCUUCUGCAGUUCCAUCUCCGCACCGAUUUCUUCGUCCCCUUUACAUACACACACAAACAAGAGAGGAAACUCCGCCAGAAAAAAACGGAAGAGUGCCAUACUACGACAACGCCCGACGAAGAGGAAAGCGCCACGGAUAUGGGCAACGCAGGCCGCGAUGCCUCACCCAUUCCGCUCCGCUCUCUCUUUUUCUUACCCUCUUGCCCUUCCCACUUGCAUUCUUUGCUUGGGGCGGACGAGUGAAAGAGGCACUUGUGCACGCGCGCCGGCUCAUAGUCGGCCUUGCCUCUUCCCCCUCUUACACCCAAAGGCAGACAUUUCUGAGUGCACCCCUCCUGUCACUUCACAACGGCAAACAUAUGCCCCACCCUCUUUCCCUGUCUCCAUCUCUCUGUGCGACUUCUCUCCGUAG